rnacentral:rRNA from 1 species
GACGAACGCUGGCGGCGUGCUUAACACAUGCAAGCCGAACGGUAAGGCCCUUCGGGGUACACGAGUGGCGAACGGGUUAGUAACACGUGGGUGAUCUUCCCUGCACUUCCGGAUAAGCCUGGGAAACUGGGUCGUAUACCGGAUAGGACCACUGCCGUCAUGGGUGGUGGUGGAAAGCUUGUGCGGUGUGGGAUGGGUCCGCGGCCUAUCAGCUUGUUGGUGGGGUGAUGGCCUACCAAGGCGACGACGGGUAGCCGGCCUGAGAGGGUGACCGGCCACACUGGGACUGAGAUACGGCCCAGACUCCUACGGGAGGCAGCAGUGGGGAAUAUUGCACAAUGGGCGCAAGCCUGAUGCAGCGACGCCGCGUGAGGGAUGACGGCCUUCGGGUUGUAAACCUCUUUCAGCACCGACGAAGCGCAAGUGACGGUAGGUGCAGAAGAAGGACCGGCCAACUACGUGCCAGCAGCCGCCGGAA